rnacentral:tRNA from 3 species
AGAGAGGUGGCCGAGCGGUCGAAGGCGCGCGCCUGGAAAGUGCGUAUACGGAGCAAUUCGUAUCGAGGGUUCGAAUCCCUUCCUCUCUGCUA